rnacentral:misc_RNA from 1 species
AGAGAACCAAAAUAGUAGAAGAACCUAAUCAAACCAGAUUGAAUCAGGUCUGUUCGGUAUAGAAUAGAAUGCCCAAGCUCAAGCGAUGCCGUUCCAAACUUUGCUUUCUUCAAAAUCAAGCUGGCCAAGAAGGUGACUAAGUUACUGAGUAGGUAAGCCAAUAACGCAAAAAGAAAAUGAUGCAAAAUGAAAGUGAUAUUUUUCACUGCUAAGUGCUAGAUAGAAGUUUGAGAAAAAGAAAGUAAAGAAAACAAUGCAAAAUAUUAUCGUCAAUGUGCAAAAUAGCACAUUUAAUGCAACUGUGUCUCAAAAACCAAAAUCAAUCCCACACAGCAGCUAAAUUACACAACCCUAAAGCCAACACGACCAAUCAAAUCCCUCAAUGAAAACCAAAAUCAAUCUCUCUUCUGAUAUACAUGACUAUGCCUCUGCCUAGAUCCCACUUCAUGUUUCACGAUGUUAAUGGAGUGAGCCCUAAGAUAAGAGAUGUGCUUGAGCCAUGGGUGCAAGGACAGGGAGGGUCACGGUUUUUGGUGAUUGACGACUGCAUAGAGAGAGUAAAAUGGGGGAAAAAAAAAAGGCUGGAGGAGUUGUGACUCGAGACGGCUUGAGAGGCAGAGAGGUAGCUAGGGAGGGGUGGAGCCUCGAGCAGAGAGGACUGAAGGAG